rnacentral:rRNA from 1 species
UCAGGAUGAACGCGUGGCGGCGUGCCUAACACAUGCAAGUCGAACGGAGUUAUAUAUGAAGUCUUCGGAUGGAUGAUAAUAACUAGUGGCGGACGGGUGAGUAACGCGUGGGUAACCUGCCUCAGUACAGGGGGAUAACAGUUGGAACGACUGCUAAACCGCAUAACACUGCACCAUCGCAUGGUGGAGCAGUUAAAUAUUUAUAGGUAUGAGAUGGGGCCCCGCGUCUGAUUAGCUAGUUGGUGAGGUAAUGGCUCACCAAGGCGACGAUCAGUAGCCGGCUUGAGAGAGUGACCGGCCACAUUGGGACUGAGACACGGCCCAAACUCCUACGGGAGGCAGCAGUGGGGAAUAUUGCACAAUGGGGGAAACCCUGAUGCAAGCGACGCCGCGUGAGUGAAGAAGUAUUUCGGUAUGUAAAGCUCUAUCAGCAGGGAAGAAAAUGACGGUACCUGACUAAGAAGCCCCGGCUAACUACGUGCCAGCAGCAGC